rnacentral:rRNA from 1 species
UACGUAGGCAGCAAGCGUUGUUCGGAGUUACUGGGCGUAAAGGGUGUGUAGGCGGUUGGGUAAGUGUGGUGUGAAAUCUCCCGGCUCAACUGGGAGGGUGCGCUACAAACUGUCUGACUAGAGUGUGGGAUGGGUAAGUGGAAUUCCCAGUGUAGAGGUGAAAUUCGUAGAUAUUGGGAAGAACACCGGUGGCGAAGGCGGCUAUCUGGCCCGUAAUUGACGCUGAGGCACGAAAGCGUGGGGAGCAAACAGG